rnacentral:ncRNA from 2 species
UUUAAGUUGUAGGGGGACCAGUGUUGCUGGUUGAGAUUGUAUCCGUAAGAUACUGACUCUUUGAACCUGAUCUGGUUGAGACCAGCGGAGGGAACAUAUUGAAUAUAUUU